rnacentral:tRNA from 1 species
GUGUCUGUGGCGUAGUGGUUAUCGCGUCUGCCUAACACGCAGAAGGUCCCAGGUUCGAUACCUGGCAGACACA